rnacentral:rRNA from 1 species
CAGCCUGCAACCCGGCUGUAUGAAGCUGGAAUCGCUAGUAAUCGCAAAUCAGAAUGUUGCGGUGAAUACGUUCCCGGGUCUUGUACACACCGCCCGUCACACCAUGGGAGCCAGGAAUGCCCGAAGCCAGUGGCCUAACCGCAAGGGAGGAGCUGUCGAAGGCAGGCCCGGUAACUGGGGUGAAGUCGUAACAAGGUAAC